UUUCCGCGGAGGCCUCACGAGAAAGACUACUGGCGCUUCCGGAGGGCUCUGGCUCCGGACUCCUUCAGCAGCUUGUGCCGGAGUCCUACCAAACGGAGAAAGAAGGUGAAACAGCUUUGUUAAACAAGACUAGUGCAAGCGCAGCCGCACAAGGACGGAGCUGGGCCGUACGUCCUGCCAAGGACGGAGGGACAUGGCAGAGGCGCAGAGCAGGUGCGGGUGCGUGAUGCGAUCGUGCCAGUGGCAUCGUCCCGGCAUGAUCCUCCGAUUCCGAACGAACCCCGAACUCUAAAUAAACAAGGCGCAUUAUUGCGUAGCUCCAGGAUAGAUACAAUAAAAGUGAGCUGAAUCAUUGAGAGGGUGUGGCUGGUGAUGGAUCGGAGUCCAACCACUAAUCGGAGUCCGUGUCAGUGGCAGAAUCAUAGGCAGCGCCGGUCGAUCCGUACCGUACGCUCCAAACGGGGCGCAUGUUACGCCGACAUCGAGCAUUUCAUCGCGUCCAGCGCACAGGGCCGAAUUUAUUUAGAGCUCGCCGUUGACAGAUGGAGCUUAGUAAUCUACUGUAGUAAUCUGAA